GCCGGGUGUGGUGGCUCGCACCUGUAAUCCCAGCACUUUGGGAGGCCGAGGUGGGUGGAUCACCUGAGGUCAGGAGUUUGAGACCAGCCUGUCCAACAUGGUGAAACCCCGUCUCUA
ensembl:misc_RNA Metazoa_SRP Metazoan signal recognition particle RNA